rnacentral:lncRNA from 1 species
GCGCACAUAACCUUCAUUGCAGCAGCAGAUAUCAAUAAUUGUGCCUCUAUCGUUGAACUGUUAUGUAUUUUCUAUUUGUGUUCUUUUUUACAGCAUUUUUCUUGGCUUUUUCGUCCUUGAGGAUUUCACUGCUUGUGUCCAUCCUCAAGGACCCCCUUUUGUUCGAGGAGUAUUUGGAGUUGCUUUAUUAAAAGUGUGCUAAAACUGUCAACCAUGAGUCUGUAACAUCUGCAUAUCUUAUUUUCUUGCACCAUCAUACUUCAUCUUAACAUCGGACCAAGUGAUAUCAAACCAGCUGAAGCUACAAACAUAUUUAUAGUAAAUCAGUUCGAAAAACAUAACUUAGUAAAGAUCUGAGGUCAAAAGGAAACAGUAAUAAGGGAAGAAUAGCCAUAAUAUAAAUGCCUCCAAUUACCAACUAACUCUUGAUUAAGAAUUACUCCCUCCGUUCCAAUUUAUGUGAACCUGUUUGAUUGGGCACGGAGUUUAAGAAUAAAAUGAAGACUUUUGGAAUUUGUGUUCCUAAACAAGUCCAAAUGGGGCCCAGAGUAUUUGUGUGGUUAUAAAAGUUUCUCAUUAAGGGUAGAGUUGUAAUUUAAGCUAAAUUGCUACCAAAUUUAGAAAAGGUUUAUUCUUUUUGGAACGAACUAAAAAGUAAAUAAGUUCACAUAAACUGGACUAGAAAGCUUUGCGUAAGGCAUAAACCGCUCAAACAAUGAGAAAGAACCUCCAUAGACUAAGAAACUAGCUGAUGAAUUUGAGUAGAUACCUCAUUUUGUGGAUGGAGCAUAAAAAACAACAAUUCAUCAUGAUUUCCUAUCCAUUCAGCGAAAAAAGAUUACUGAUUAUAUCUUAGGAGAUUUUAAGCUACACACUUCAUUUGAAAAAAUUGCAAAAGCAGCCAGACAGAAAAUGAUAAAGUAGGUUAUAACCUCGCUUUGUUGUAGUUGUACUGCUGACUUCGUAAUAUAUCAUUUUAGUCACAGCCUUCAAGUGGAAGAUAUUUGCUGUGGCAAAACUUGUAUAUCUUCCUAACAGAAUUGCAAAUCUUUCUCCUGUUCAAUAGCCUUUGGCUACUUGUUUUAACUUUUCUCAUGGCAGUGGACUCUUUGACAGUCAACGAGCAUAUCAUAGAUCUAAAUAUCUAUCAACCCUCCAAUGAAGCCCUCUAGCACUAAAGCUCACAAGUUCUAAAUCUAAAAGAAGGCCAAGCGUUUAAGUUUUAAAUAUGAGAUAUCUUUCAACUAUAUUCUUCCAGAUUUGAAUAGCUUUUGCAUAAUCUCAAGGAAUGGCAAACCUGAUUAGGAAACUUCAAAAUGGUUUCACUUGCAAUAAUUCCAAGUUUCAUGUAACUGCUCGAGGUUCCACUGCUUCCCUCACUUGAUAUCAUUGUCGCCAAGGCAAGGCCAAUUGCAAAAACCUCUUGAGGAUCAAACAAGUUAACAUCGAACACUUUAGCAAUCCCUGCAAGAUUAACACUGACUCAUAUGCUUAACUGGUCUUAUACUUGUAACAUAUGCUUUUCGCUUCUGAUUCUGAAUAAGCCUCAAUUACUUCCUGAUAGUUGGUAACUGUACUCCUAGUUGAUAUGUGGAGUAGUUUUUGGGUUUUGGAUGUAACGUUUCAAGGCGGAAUUAGGAAAGUGGAGA